rnacentral:lncRNA from 1 species
UCGACUUUUUCUUUCUCGAGCCUUCAACUACAAGGGCUCUGACGACCAUUUGAGACUUAUAUUAUUUCUUAUCUCUGAGUAUGGUCUCCUCUGUGAUCCUCAGAUGGGUCAUCAACUGUUCAAUGCUGAAGUCUUCUGACUGACUUGUGCAUCAGUGUAUUCCUAUAGUCUUCCUAGGAGGGCGGCAAUUUAUUGAUUAUUAACCCGACAUGGAAUAAUUCAUCAAAUUUAAUGCCAUUUGGAUGCUAGUUCAUUGGCUAUAAUUUGAAAACCAUGAAUUUGAGCCAAUACCGAUUUUUUUUCUGUAAUUUUAAAAUUUAAGUAUCUACUAAUGAGAUACUUCUUUCUACCAACAUCUUCUUCUUCAUAUUUGGCUUCUAAAGUCUCCCACAGCGAACUUGCAGUUGGCAGUCUUGAGUAAAGAUAAAACAAAUGAUCGCUUAAAGCAUUCAAGAUAUGCACUUUACAUAUGUAGUUAUUUUUGUCCCAUUCUUGAAUUUCUUCG